GCUUCAGCAAGGAUCAUGGAAUAGGUAUUGUGGCUAAAAGCAAACCAUUGGGUCACCCUGAUCACCUUACAGGCAUGUGUAUGUCAAUCAGUUCAGGAUAGAAGCAAGAGGACAGGCAUGACCUAAUACAAUCAUAAAUGAUGCAAGAGGACAGUAGAACUGAGAUGCCCCUCAGGAUCCGAGAAGCCCCCUGCAAAACCAUUGCUUUGGAACCUCGAUGAUACCAACAGUGUGCAGGAGAGGGGCAAGUUAUCUGGAAUGAACCUGCCCAGAGAAGAACAAGGAGAUGACAGAAAUAGUCCCAAACCAUGGUUGUGAUAUAAGAUUUUUGAAGCCAGGCAACCAAAACUCAAAAGCAGAAAACCAAAGAGCAAAAGAAACAGAAACAAAAGAGCCAAACCUAAAGGCAAAGACGUUCAAAUCCCAAGGCAAGAUUUCCAAAGAACAGUUUGGUAAGACAGGUUUUAAAUGCAAGGUUAUUUCAACUGCACUCAUGGCUCCCUGAGAAUGCAGCACACGGUGGGCUCAUGUCUGAGCCUGUGGACCCAUAGGCUGCAUCAGCACCGUCUGGGAACCAAGGCAUGAAAACGCUCCCAGGACCGAAAAGUCUGACAACCAGGACUGGGCAACCGGAACAACGGGGGAUGAGUUAUCUUGAUACAAGGACAGAGGCAAGCAGGAAACCAGUCCAUCAGCAGAAACAUUCCACAGGCUGCAGGCAGGCAGCAAAGUAAAACAACGUCCCCAAAGCAAAACCCUCAUCAAUCCAAACCAAGGUUUUUCUCUAAGUGGCAAUGGACCAAGGCCCAUCUAGUCAAUGAUUCAAAUCAUCUGAUGCAAAUUUGAACCUCCAAUUCAAUAAAUUCAAUGUAAAAAAGCAAGAGCAAAUUUUGUGCAGAAAAGACUUAACAUGGCAGGCCUGAAACUGCUAUCCUUAGAAAAAGGCCUGUUAGCAAGGUUGGCCCUUGGUUGCCAUCUGGAACUUAGAUCUUUCAGGAGGGUUCUCAGCAUUCCCUGAUAAGUAUGCCUUGCUGUGCCUAGACUGUGUGUGCAAACAAUGCAGUUUAUGAUGCAUACCUGCUUUCCUUCUGAGUAUGGAAUUUUCAAACUUGCCAGGUAGGGGUGUUACAUGACCAAUCCCAACAAAAAACCUGGACACUCUAAUGAGCUCUCCUGUGUUAACAGAAAAAAACAAACUCUGUAAAAUAUUUUAAAGAGAUUUAUUCUGAGCCAGUGAGUGACGAUGGUCCAGAGAACAGUCUCAAGACGUCCUGAGAGAGAGUGCCGGAGGCCACAAUGCUGAGAGAAAAUCCUGAAUCUCCUAGAGAAGAAAUUCCUUGAAAGACUCCACAACCAACUGAAACCAGAGCCCACUGAGGUUUGCCAGCCCUAGUACCAGCUCCCAUAGAGAGUGCAUUCCAAAUGCCAGACACCAGGCCUAUCCUAUCUCAUUUAAUUUUAUUUAACCAGUUCUCCAAGGUCAAAUGUCAAUUUUAAUGAAGCGUCACUUCACAGUUAUGUAGUUUGUUCUUUUGAAACAGACAAUUAUGAUAUUAAAAUCUGGAUUAAAUGAGCA